AUGAACGCUGGCGGCGUGCCUAAUCCCUGCAAGUCGAGCGAACGGACGAGAAGCUUGCUUCUCUGAUGUUAGCGGCGGACGGGUGAGUAACACGUGGAUAACCUACCUAUAAGACUGGGAUAACUUCGGGAAACCGGAGCUCAUACCGGAUAAUAUUUUGAACCGCAUGGGUCAAAAGUGAAAGACGGUCUUGCUGUCACUUAUAGAUGGAUCCGCGCUGCAUUAGCUAGUUGGUAAGGUAACGGCUUACCAAGGCAACGAUGCAUAGCCGACCUGAGAGGGGGAUCGGCCACACUGGAACUGAGACACGGUCCAGACUCCUACGGGAGGCAGCAGUAGGGAAUCUUCCGCAAUGGGCGAAAGCCUGACGGAGCAACGCCGCGUGAGUGAUGAAGGUCUUCGGAUCGUAAAACUCUGUUAUUAGGGAAGAACAUAUGUGUAAGUAACUGUGCACAUCUUGACGGUACCUAAUCAGAAAGCCACGGCUAACUACGUG
rnacentral:rRNA from 1 species